CACAAGCGGUGGAGCAUGUGGUUAAUUCGAUGCAACGCGAAGAACCUUACCUACUCUGACAUCCACAGAACUUUCCAGAGAUGGAUUGGUGCCUUCGGGAACUGUGAGACAGGUGCUGCAUGGCUGUCGUCAGCUCGUGUUGUGAAAUGUUGGGUUAAGUCCCGCAACGAGCGCAACCCUAUCCUUAUUUGCCAGCACGUAAUGGUGGGAACUCUAGGGAGACUGCCGGUGAUAAACCGGAGGAAGGUGGGGACGACGUCAAGUCAUCAUGGCCCUUACGAGUAGGGCUACACACGUGCUACAAUGGCGAGUACAGAGGGUUGCAAAGCCGCGAGGUGGAGCUAAUCUCACAAAGCUCGUCGUAGUCCGGAUUGGAGUCUGCAACUCGACUCCAUGAAGUUGGAAUCGCUAGUAAUCGCGCAUCAGCAUGGCGCGGUGAAUACGUUCCCGGGCCUU
rnacentral:rRNA from 1 species